UGGGGAAUUUUGGACAAUGGGCGAAAGCCUGAUCCAGCAAUGCCGCGUGUGUGAAGAAGGCCUUCGGGUUGUAAAGCACUUUUGUCCGGAAAGAAAUCCUUGGCUCUAAUACAGUCGGGGGAUGACGGUACCGGAAGAAUAAGCACCGGCUAACUACGUGCCAGCAGCCGCGGUAAUACGUAGGGUGCAAGCGUUAAUCGGAAUUACUGGGCGUAAAGCGUGCGCAGGCGGUUUGCUAAGACCGAUGUGAAAUCCCCGGGCUCAACCUGGGAACUGCAUUGGUGACUGGCAGGCUAGAGUAUGGCAGAGGGGGGUAGAAUUCCACGUGUAGCAGUGAAAUGCGUAGAGAUGUGGAGGAAUACCGAUGGCGAAGGCAGCCCCCCGGGCCAAUACUGACGCUCAUGCACGAAAGCGUGGGGAGCAAACAGGAUUAGAUACCCUGGUAGUCCACGCCCUAAACGAUGUCAACUAGUUGUUGGGGACUUCAUUUCCUUAGUAACGUAGCUAACGCGUGAAGUUGACCGCCUGGGGAGUACGGUCGCAAGAUUAAAACUUAAAGGAAUUGACGGGGU
rnacentral:rRNA from 1 species